CCUACGGGGGACAGCAGUAGGGAAUUUUCGGCAAUGGGGGGAACCCUGACCGAGCAACGCCGCGUGAACGAAGAAGUUAUUCGUAAUGUAAAGUUCUUUUAACAGGGAAGAAAGAGAAAUUUGACGGUACCUGAAGACUAAGCUCCGGCUAACAACGUGACAGCAGCCGCGGUAAUACGUAGGGAGCGAGCGUUAUCCGGAAUUAUUGGGCGUAAAGGGUGCGUAGAUGGCAUAGUAAGUCUUUUGUAAAAAUGCUGGGCUCAACCCAGUAGGGCAAAAGAUACUGCAAAGCUAGAGUAUGACAGAGGCAAGUGGAACUACAUGUGUAGCGGUAAAAUGCGUAGAUAUAUGUAAGAACACCAGUGGCGAAGGCGGCUUGCUGGGUCGAUACUGACAUUGAAGCACGAAAGCGUGGGGAGCAAACAGGAUUAGAUACCCCUGUAGUC
rnacentral:rRNA from 1 species